AGAAAUAGCUUCUUCCUCUUUGCUACUGUUUUAGUUUCUCUGUAACUAUUGCAUUUUCUUCAUAAAUCUCUGCCAAGCUCUUAGAGUGCUCUCUUUAUAUGUUACAUUGAGGGGUACUAUCAGUAGUUGUAUCUUGGAGGUGACUUGACAACUGUUAUAGCAUCUCUCUUUCCAGAGGAGUAGCAGGCAAUAGUACCUUUAGGUCAGGAUAUCUCAUAGUGCCUCUACUAGUUCCUGCUACCAUUUUCGGUGCAUCUCCAGGAACUUAUUAGGAUUGUUGUUACUGUCUCCAACAAUUUCUUCAUGAAGAUCGUAAUUCUUCCUUAUCCACCGAAGCUAAAACUUCAUAUUCAAUUUCUUCGUCUUCUUGCUUUUGAUCGUUAAACAUGGAACACGCGGGAUCCAUUUUUGAGGAUUAUUUUGUGAAUCAUGGGGAUGUUCUCCAUGAUUGUGAAUUUCGGUUUAGUUUAGUUCCGAAGGAAGAUCAAUCAGAAAAUUUGAUGAACAUUAAUCAAAUUACGGAUGUAGGUAUUUCCAAAUUACAAAAAGACAAUAACGAACAUCGAAUGGUUGACAUCAUGUACUCACGGAGAUUGAACAUUGUUAGGCUAAAUGAACUCAAAACUUACUCUGAUUUAUACAGCCAUCUGCCAAUGCCACUCAGCUUCACACACGUAUUUAUGUAAAGAAUCACCAAAAAAGUAUGAUACAGAAACUAAUAUCUUUAUAUAUUUUGUUCAGAUUAAUAUGUUUUCCAGCCGUAUGACAACCUUCAUCUAACCUAGGCAUGGGUGUGCAAAUACAUUAAGUGUUUUAAUGUACUGAUGUUGUCAUGCGAUAUUCUUUAGUGAUUUUUUCUUCUUCUUUGUCUAAGUGACCAGCUGCAGUAUGGAGGGGUAUAAGUAGUGAAGUACAUUUUGUAUUCAGCGAUGUGGAAUAACCCAUAAGGAGAAGAAUACAGGGACACGACGUUUUGUGAUUCAUUGUAAGCCGGGCUUCUUCGUUUCAAAGAAGUAAAUGGGAGGAUAAAAUCGUGCCCGCAAGGCAACAAGCAAGGGCAAACGGCAAGUCAACAGAAGGGUUUGAGGUCGCUUGGACGUAUGGAGAGUGAAAUCGGGAUAUGACUCCAACAGUCCAUGUGGACAUCGUAAGUAUGAGGCGGUAUGUAUACUUCUCUUCUGUUUCAGAAAUUGCUUACAAUUUUUACUCCCACAUAUGAUUGAGUCACAAAAUGUUAUACCGUGUACGUUUCAAAAUAAGGAGAACAAUACAGGGACACGGCGUUUUGUGAUUCAUUGUAAGCUGAGCUUCUUCGUUUCAAAGAAGUAAAUGGGAGGAUAAAAUCGUGCCCGCAAGGCAAUCAAGCAAGGGCAAAAGGAAAGUCAACAGAAGGGUUUGAGGUCGCUUGGACGUAUAGAGAGUGAAAUCAUGGAUAUGACUCCAACAGUCCGUGUGGACAUUGUAAGUAUGAGCCGCUGCGAAGGUUCACACCAAACUCAUAUAUUUCUCUCAAAGAACUAUUUUAAGCAAGAUCAGUGACAGCACAGGAAACUCAAUUAUGACCGCAGGAUUGAGGCUUUGGCUCUCUUACAUCCGUUCCUGUUAGUUCAUCACCAGCCAUAAUAUUUAUCCAACUGAGUGUAGUUCAAAACUAUACUCAUCUUCAAGGAUAUGGCUUCGGCUGAUGAUGAAGCAUUUGAGGACGUGGGUUCUUUGCAAAGAUGAGUUUCUUCGAUUAUGAAUGUAUUAUGUUCUUGCGACUGAUAAUUUCGGCUCUGAUUUUUUUCUUUUAAUUGUUUUUUUCUCUUGAGAUUUACAGUCCAUUUAAGUUUGUUUCUUUGGAAUGCAACUCAAAGUAGUUUGGGUAUAAUGGUGUUGAUUAUUUGCAA